rnacentral:rRNA from 1 species
AUUGAACGCUGGCGGCAGGCCUAACACAUGCAAGUCGAACGAGUGGCGGACGGGUGUGUAAUGUCUGGGAAACUGCCCGAUGGAGGGGGAAAACUUCUGGAAACGGUAGCUAAUACCGCAUACCAUCGGAUGUGCCCAGAUGGGAUUAGCUAGUAGGUGGGGUAAGGGCGCACCUAGGCGACGAUCCCUAGCUGGUCUGAGAGGAUGACCAGCCACACGGGGACUGAGACACGGUCCAGACUCCUACGGGAGGCAGCAGUGGGGAAUAUUGCACAAUGGGCGCAAGCCUGAUGCCGCCAUGCCGCGUGUAUGAAGAAGGCCUUAGGGUUGUAAAGUACUUUCAGCGGGGAGGCGUUACCCGCAGAAGAAGCACCGGCUAACUCCGUGCCAGCAGCCGCGGUAAUUC